rnacentral:rRNA from 1 species
UACGUAGGUGGCAAGCGUUGUCCGGAAUUAUUGGGCGUAAAGCGCGCGCAGGCGGUCCUUUAAGUCUGAUGUGAAAGCCCACGGCUCAACCGUGGAGGGUCAUUGGAAACUGGGGGACUUGAGUACAGAAGAGGAAAGCGGAAUUCCACGUGUAGCGGUGAAAUGCGUAGAGAUGUGGAGGAACACCAGUGGCGAAGGCGGCUUCUGGUCUGUAACUGACGCUGAGGCGCGAAAGCGUGGGGAGCGAACAGG